UACGGAGGGUGCAAGCGUUAUCCGGAUUCACUGGGGUUAAAGGGUGCGUAGGUGGGCAGGUAAGUCAGUGGUGAAAUCUCUGGGCUUAACCCAGAAACUGCCGUUGAUACUAUCUGUCUUGAAUAUAGUGGAGGUGAGCGGAAUAUGUCAUGUAGCGGUGAAAUGCUUAGAGAUGACAUAGAACACCCAUUGCGAAGGCAGCUCGCUACACUAUUAUUGACACUGAGGCACGAAAGCGUGGGGAUCAAACAGG
rnacentral:rRNA from 1 species